CUGGUUGAUCCUGCCAGUAGUCAUAUGCUUGUCUCAAAGAUUAAGCCAUGCAUGUCUAAGCACAAGCCGAUUAAUGGUGAAGCCGCGAAUGGCUCAUUACAACAGCCAUAGUUUCUUAGAUCUUACUUUUCUACUUGGAUAACUGUGGUAAUUCUAGAGCUAAUACACGCAAAAAAGCUCAGACCUUACGGAAUGAGCGCAUUUAUUAGAACAAAAACCAAUCGGGCUUCGGUCCGUCAUUUGGUGAAUCUGAAUAACUUUGCUGAUCGCACGGUCUUCGUACCGGCGACAUAUCUUUCAAAUGUCUGCCUUAUCAACUUUCGAUGGUAGUUUAUGCGCCUACCAUGGUUGUAACGGGUAACGGAGAAUAAGGGUUCGACUCCGGAGAGGGAGCCUGAGAAACGGCUACCACAUCCAAGGAAGGCAGCAGGCACGCAAAUUACCCACUCCCGGCACGGGGAGGUAGUGACGAAAAAUAACGAGACGGCUCGCUAUGCGGUCCGUCAUCGGAAUGGGUACAAUUUAAAUCCUUUAACGAGGAUCUAUUGGAGGGCAAGUCUGGUGCCA
rnacentral:rRNA from 1 species